rnacentral:rRNA from 1 species
UGCAGUCGAACGCUUCUUUUUCCACCGGAGCUUGCUCCACCGGAAAAAGARGAGUGGCGAACGGGUGAGUAACACGUGGGUAACCUGCCCAUCAGAAGGGGAUAACACUUGGAAACAGGUGCUAAUACCGUAUAACAAUCAAAACCGCAUGGUUUUGAUUUGAAAGGCGCUUUCGGGUGUCGCUGAUGGAUGGACCCGCGGUGCAUUAGCUAGUUGGUGAGGUAACGGCUCACCAAGGCCACGAUGCAUAGCCGACCUGAGAGGGUGAUCGGCCACAUUGGGACUGAGACACGGCCCAAACUCCUACGGGAGGCAGCAGUAGGGAAUCUUCGGCAAUGGACGAAAGUCUGACCGAGCAACGCCGCGUGAGUGAAGAAGGUUUUCGGAUCGUAAAACUCUGUUGUUAGAGAAGAACAAGGAUGAGAGUAACUGUUCAUCCCUUGACGGUAUCUAACCAGAAAGCCACGGCUAACUACGUGCCAGCAGCCGCGGUAAUACGUAGGUGGCAAGCGUUGUCCGGAUUUAUUGGGCGUAAAGCGAGCGCAGGCGGUUUCUUAAGUCUGAUGUGAAAGCCCCCGGCUCAACCGGGGAGGGUCAUUGGAAACUGGGAGACUUGAGUGCAGAAGAGGAGAGUGGAAUUCCAUGUGUAGCGGUGAAAUGCGUAGAUAUAUGGAGGAACACCAGUGGCGAAGGCGGCUCUCUGGUCUGUAACUGACGCUGAGGCUCGAAAGCGUGGGGAGCAAACAGGAUUAGAUACCCUGGUAGUCCACGCCGUAAACGAUGAGUGCUAAGUGUUGGAGGGUUUCCGCCCUUCAGUGCUGCAGCUAACGCAUUAAGCACUCCGCCUGGGGAGUACGACCGCAAGGUUGAAACUCAAAGGAAUUGACGGGGGCCCGCACAAGCGGUGGAGCAUGUGGUUUAAUUCGAAGCAACGCGAAGAACCUUACCAGGUCUUGACAUCCUUUGANCACUCUAGAGAUAGAGCUUCCCCUUCGGGGGCAAAGUGACAGGNGGUGCAUGGUUGUCGUCAGCUCGUGUCGUGAGAUGUUGGGUUAAGUCCCGCAACGAGCGCAACCCUUAUUGUUAGUUGCCAUCAUUCAGUUGGGCACUCUAGCAAGA